rnacentral:pre_miRNA from 1 species
CGUGAAGGUACUGGAGCUCAUUGCAAAACUGUAUACGAUCCUUUCAACUUGAACAGCAUUCGAAAGCUUGUGGCUAUUGCUCAGAGGAUGGUAUACAGUUUCGCUGUGGAACUCCAGUCCCUACAUG